GCCUACGGCCAUACCAGUCUGAAAGUACCUGAUCUCGUCAGAUCUCAGAAGUCAUGCAAACUUGGGCCUGAUUAGUACUUGUAUGGGAGACCAACUAGGAACCUCAGGUGCCGUAAGCU
rnacentral:rRNA from 1 species